UUUAUCAAGUACUAUUCAAGAAAAGUAAAAAAAAAAAAAAUGCUCUUAUGACAAAAUAAUUCUAAUACUCUCCUCUAGGUGGAGCCAGUGGCCCAAUGUUCACCCUCUGCUCUCAGCGCCUUCAGCUGCCGCACCUGUUGCUCAUCAGGUUUAUUAGCGCACUGUUACAGUCAGACUUGGUAGCCUUCAGUCUGUAGGCUGCACGCUGCUGUCUGAAGUGGCCCAAAACCGAUUCCCCCCCUUGAUGUGACCUAGUUGUCUCUGAUCUUUUCAUGACAGUCUGAUCAACACAGAUCGGAUUUUUUUUUCAAACGCGACCAACGUCACUUGGAUAUGUUGUCCUAAAUCCGAAACAUAGCUGAUCUUUUCAAACGUGACACCAGUCUGUAUGGCCAAGUCGGGCUCAUCCGACUUGAACGUCAUUAUUACUCGACAAACGUCACCAUUCUGCGACUACAUACGCGCAAGCGGGAAGAAAAACAACCGCCAUGGCGGACUGUAAUGAAGAUUAAGUUGUUAAUGUGCUGACUUCACUCGGACAACGACUUUAAAAUCGACCCGUCGAUCAGAACCAUCCAAAGCUGCUGUUUCUAUCAGGCCCCUCAUCUGGUCGCACCAGAAGAGUCGAUCAUCAGUGAAGUCGAUGGUCAGACCAGUGGGAGACAUGAGGCCAGUGCUGGCAAUGACCACACGGCUGCUUCCCUCCAGAGUGGCGCUUUCUACCACAGGCUGAGCGCCGGUGUCUGUCCAGAAUAACUUCCUCCAGAAUGGCUCACCAGUUGCAAUGCAGCGUUUUCCAUCUUGGUGGAGCCUGUACCCAGGAAGACAUCCACACUGCCAGCGACUCGGUGUGAUGGAGGAACAGAGCUGACUGCAGCCACCUCUGUCUGCUGAAGAGCAACCUGGAGAUCAGAGUUAAUAACACAGAUCCAGAUUUACACUACUUCUGACAAUUUUUUGCAAUAAUUUCAUGUAUUCUUUUUAUAAUUGCAUCAGUUUCCACCACUGAUGGACAGCAACAGAAAACUUGUUGGACGUUGUGUUUUCUACAAUUUAUCCCAGUAUUCCUUUUGGUAUAGUAACAGAUUUAUUAAAAGUUGAAGAUGUUUUGUUUGCAACAUGUUUUGUGUGACAUGAAUUCAGCCUUGUAUUGCACCUCCAACCACAAUUUAUUCAAAUAAACUUCUAAAAAAAACCAAAUAACUGAAUUUUCAGUCUCAAGGCUUGUCGAAUGUAACUAUUUGCACCUUUAACCCGCAUGUUGCAAACAUUUUUUUUCUCCAGUGAAUGCUAAUUGCAUCUGAUAUUAAACACUAUCAGCUUCUAUUAAGAACUGCACUCUUUGGAGUGGAUGUUGUAUGUUUACUAACCUUAAUGUGCAAAAAUAAAGUCACAGCUCU